rnacentral:rRNA from 1 species
GAUGAACGCUGGCGGCGUGCUUAACACAUGCAAGUCGAACGGUGAAGCAGGAGCUUGCACUGGUGAAUUAGUGGCGAACGGGUGAGUAACACGUGAGUAACCUGCCCUUGACUCUGGGAUAACUGCGGGAAACUGUAGCUAAUACCGGAUACGACCCUCGGAGGCAACUCCUGGGGGUGGAAAGAAUUUCGGUCAAGGAUGGACUCGCGGCCUAUCAGCUAGUUGGUGAGGUAAAGGCUCACCAAGGCGACGACGGGUAGCCGGCCUGAGAGGGGGACCGGCCACACUGGGACUGAGACACGGCCCAGACUCCUACGGGAGGCAGCAGUGGGGAAGAUUGCACAAUGGGCGCAAGCCUGAUGCAGCAACGCCGCGUGAGGGAUGACGGCCUUCGGGUUGUAAACCUCUUUUAGCAGGGAAGAAGCGAAAGUGACGGUACCUGCAGAAAAAGCACCGGCUAACUACGUGCCAGCCGCCGCCGUAA